GGGAGGAUGGCCGAGUGGUUUAAGGCGGCAGAUUUAAGUCCUACACCUCACACCAGACUAAAGACCUAUUCUCUGCUUUCCGUUGGAAGCGUGGGUUCGAACCCCACUCCUCUCA
rnacentral:tRNA from 1 species